rnacentral:lncRNA from 10 species
UCCCUUGAGCUCGUUCCUCUUUUUCUCUGUGAGGCAUGGAAGUGAGAUGCAUGCAGCCCACCUUGUUAUUAUCCGCUGAUAGUUUCUGCCUGCGAGAUCCAUGGUGGCCGACAUCAGCGCAUGGCAGGAAGCAGGCGACAGGUUAUUCUGUAAAAAGCAGCUUCAGGACUUGGCUUUGGCAGCCUUGAAGACGUCAGAGACACACCUACGGUGCCGCAUGGUGGGGGGGGUUUGGAACAAUCAGCCCCUCCAGAGAGAGCUGUCUACAAAAGCAAUCCUCGCAGCCCACCCUAACUGAGCACCUACUAUGUGCUAGCGCUGUGCCAAGUGCAUAAGUGAAUCCCUUCAGGCAGCCUGGAGCUCAGGACUGCAGGCUCUGGAGCCAGGCAGCCUGGGGACACCUCUUCUACCUCCUCCCGCUGACUGUGGGGAGAAGCUCCACCUCCUGCUGCCUCAGUUGCUCUUUAUAAAAUGGGGCCAAUGAUAGCAACUUGCCUCACUACACAGCAGCUGAGCAGGUGAGUAAUGAGGUCAGCGCAGAGCGUCCGGGUGCCUGCCUCACGUGAAUACUCAACAAAGCACGCCACUCUCCACAACUUAUGCGCCUCAGCUGCUAGAACAGCGCCCACAUCAGAAUACUGCUACAUAGAAGCUGCCAAAUGGAAAGCAAAUCAUGCACGUUCAAAUCCUCGACCUGAGGCCAUGAGGCUGGAGAACUGCCACCCAUUUCACAGAGGGGGAGGUUGAGACUCUCCCAAGGCCAUGGAGCCGGCCAGCAGCACCACCAAGAUACAAAACCCGGGACUGUUUGGCU